UCUCCGCCCCAGAUCCCCUCCCACGCGGGGCGGGGCGGGGAGACCGGGGGAGGAGCCGAGGGCCCGGGGGCACGCCGCCCGCGGGGCCUGCACCCAACAACGUGCCACCGACGAUGGAACCCGGUGACCUCCAAAGGGUCGCCCCACCACCCGCUAGCCUGAGGGCCAAGCGCUGGGAGCCUGCCCUUCAGAAGAAUGCAUGGGGUGGAGCACACGGAAGGGAAGAAACACCUGGGACUCCAUUUCCGCCAUCUGGAAGGUGCUGGGCCUGGACCUCUGCCACUCGGUGGACGCAGUGACAAGAGUUUGACACACAGGACAAAGAAGAAACAGUCAGGGACCCAGACUCUGUGGCUACCCCAGGUGCUGAAGGGACAGGAUGCAGCUACUUCCAUCCCCACCACCAACUCUGGGAAAACCACCCCUUGGACAAAACUUCUAGCCUGAAGUGGGAGGUUGUCCCUGCUUGGGCCCCAGGCUCUCUGAGCUCCCUCCACUUGCUGCUUACCUUGUUUCCUAAGUGUGCAGAAAGUGGAAGGAGCACUGGACCUGGAGUUCAGAGGCCUCCGUUUAGCUCUGUGACCUCAAACAAAUCUCUGUCCUUUUCUGGGUCUCAUUUUCCCCUUUCACAGUGAGUGGGUUGCAGUUGAUUAUCUCCAAAGUCCUUUUAUGGGGACUGAAUCAUGUUAUUGGGCAUCUUGCUUAUUAGGUUUUUCUCUGGCUGCACAUCUUUUAAAGAGGUGUGCACGUGUGUGUGUACGUGUGUGUAUGCGCUUCUGUCUGGAUUAGCUUGUCCUCUCAGACUUAAAUUUGGGGAGGGAAAAUGAGGAGGCCUUCCCAACAGGUAGGCAGUCAUCCUGGGCAAACCAGAGCUUGACCAGAAUGGCCGGCACAGGGAGAGAGUGAAUCCCAGUCCCAGCCGACCUCAGAGUGGCUGGACAAGUCCCACAUUAACAAUCCCUGCUUUGUCUUCCCAAAGGUGUUGGGGGAUACAUGAGCUAUUAGGUGUGAAGCCCUUUGAAGGGGAAGGCAAGGGUUGUGCACUUUCUGACAUCGUCUUUUGACUCGCGACCGGGAUGGGCUUCAGAGGCAGAAGAGGGCGUGAGGUGUUCAAAGCCUAGCACUGGCUUUGCCCCAGCAGAGACGCGCCAUGCCUCCCCAUACUCCCGCCCACUGCAGGCCUCUUUGUGUGCCCUUGGGGAAGCUAGAGAGGGAAGAGUAGACCCCCGACCUGAAGAGAGGUGGUCAGUGGAUUACCAAUUAAUGGAUCAGCAUGUCUUGGCUGAACACCUGGCCAGCAGGUACUACAGACACCCGCCUCUGCUCUUAGGGAGAUUAAAGACCAGCUGGGUGAUUAAACAGGAAGCCUUUGGAGAAAGAUGUGGAGAGAGGCUUCCGCAGAUGGCAAGCACACAGGGAAAUCGGAGCAGGAUGGACUAGACCGCAUGGAGAGGAAUUUAGGGAGUAUUGCGUCCAACUCCGCCCUUUCAUAUGUGAGCUCAGAGAGUAGUGACCUCCUCCCAAGGCGGUCAGCCUGAGGUAGCAGAGCUGGAACCCAAACCGGGACUUCAGGACUCUGCUGGGUUCGGGCCUCUGUGUGGCCCAGGGAAACAGGGAGCAUGGGAAGGACCGGGUGCAGGCCAGUGACCCGAAAGUGCCUUCCAGCUCGGGGAGGAGCUGAGCCCAGGAACAGCAGGGAGGCUGCUGGCAUCCCAGGGCGUGUCUGGAAAGCCAGGCUGAUGAGUAGACCGGGGAGGAUUUCGAGGCCACACCAGUUGGGAAGGGAUGUUACUGGAGAGACACAGGCCCCAAAUGACCCCAUGAGGCAGGAGAGGACAUGCCAGGAAGGCAGUGAGGUGACAUGGGAAGAGCACCAGGAGACAGGCGCCUGUAUCCAAACGGCCUGAGCAGGGGCUUCUCUUCUCUGGCCCUCUGUCUCUUCAUCUAUAGAGAGGGGACCAUAGCUUUUUCCUUUUAGGGUUGUCAUGGUUACCACAGACUGCAUUUGGAAGUGCUCUGCAAACUGCAAUUUAGCAAUUUAACAAUUGUGUUUGUUGAUUCUUUUAAAGGCCUCCAUGAAUAUCUGUGGAACUGACCCAUGUUGGGUUGGGCACCGCAUGUCUCCUUGUGAUGGAUGGACAGCAAAAGGGGGGUCUGCAAGUGGCCGGAAGGGCCCAGGAGGGCGGGAAGAAGAGAGAGCACCAGUCUAAUUGUCAGUGCCCCUUUGAACACCUUUACAAUGUAGCCCAAAUACCCCUUUAGGGAGGAUAGCCCCACUCUAUCCACAGGACUCAGAAUCUGCCAUCUCGUCCUCUGCCCCACCCCCCCCAGCACCUGCGUUCACGGUGCAUGGUAUCAGAAGCCACUUUUCCCAACCAGGCACCUGUUCCUAAGGGGCAGCCCCUUCUGGGUGGGCCCAGACCAGCUGUGCUCUUUACUCACAAGCUUGUCUGACUGCAGGAACAGUGCAAAUGAGGCUGUCACCCCCACUUCAUAGCAGGACUCCGGUCUCUUGUGCAUCUGCGGCUCUCUUGCAUCCAGCCCUCGCUGAACCCAGGAGUCCCCUGCUCCUCCUUCUCCUCUGUGAUGGAGUCAUCGGGGCAGGGCUUACUGCUCCACUUAGCAGAUGGGAAAAGCGCUGCCAAGAUGGUGCCGGGGCUUACCAGGCAGCGGCACAUCCACAACAACCACUUCACCCCGCCAGUCUGGGCUGCGUGCUGCCCGGGCCUUUCCCCAGCCAUCAUCUCAUCAGGGCUGGAAGUAUUCACUUCACUCUGCAAAGAAAGGAGUGGCUGCUCAGGGAGUUUGUGGUUGAGGGAAACUUCUCGAAGAGCUUUCCUUUCAGCUACUACAUUCAGACAAGGGCAGUGUUGGUAUCAGUUUCCUGGGGCUGCCGUAAGGAACACAGCAGCUUAAAACAACAGAAACUCUCUCUUUCAGUCCUGGAGGCACGAAGUCCCAAAUCCGGGGGUGAGCAGGGCUGCGCUCCCUCCAGAGUUCUGAGGACCCCUAGGAGAAGGUGCCUGGUCUCUUCCGGCUUCUGGUGGGUCCAGAAGUUUCCUGGCUUGAGGAAGCAGGACUCCGACCUCUGCCUCUGUCACCACAUGGCUUCUCCCCUGUGUCUCUCUGUGUCUUCUCUUAUUUGUAAAAAAACUGCAGUCAUUGGGUUCAGACCAGCUCAUCUUGACAUCCUCAACUUAAUUUUACCUGCAAAGAUCCUCUUCCUAAAUUAAGUCACAGUCACAGGACUGGAUGUUAGGACAUGGACUUAUCUUUUUCAGGGACAUUGUCCAACCCACCUCAGUGUCUCUCCUCUUACGGGAGGCCCCUGCUGGUCCCUCGAGGUCAGUCUCCUCCUCUCUUCUCCCCUCCACUUCACACCUCAUCUCAGCUGCCUGGACAGAGCCUCUUCCCACAUGUUCUCCCUGGUCCUUUUAUGGAGGAGAAAGGAGACCACAGCCACAUGGCGCCCUCGCUAGGGGCAGUGAGCCGGGGGACUCGGUUCCCUCUGACUUCCUCUCCCACCACCUCCCAGUGUGACCACGGCUGCCUCAUGGCACCUUUGUGCCCUUCCCUCUGCCACCUGUCCAUCAUGGGAACCUGUGGAGAAGAAGUCCCUUUUGGAGGAUGUGCUCACCCUGCCCUCUGUCCCAGGUCCUCUACUGAUGCCGAGGUCCUGACAGCCCUUGGCCAGGGAGCCACAGAGCUUUCUAUUCCAUUCAGGGAGCACAGACUCCUGGGCAAACCUCCUGGGCCUGGGGGCGGGCGGGCACAGUCGUCAGAGCAGGAUGGAGGGAGGUGGAGCACGAAAGACUGGCCCGCCAUGUGUGUGUGUGGAGAAGAUGCUGAGAGGACAGGAGAGGGACCCACCUAGCCUGGGACUCACUUUGGCCAGGGUCAGGCCAGGGCUGGGACCCCUGCCUCUUCAGGGAGAGAGCGCAGGACCCAUCACCUCAGUGCCUGAAGGAGGCCCCACGCCUGCCCCCUCCCAGGUGGGCUCUUCAAGCCCAUAGCCUCCAGGAACCAGAGAGGCCAGAAGAACCUCCAGGCUCAUCUGACCAGGGAGUAAAGAGGGGCAGAGAUGCCAUGGAAACAGCCAGAAGACUUGUGUGCCCAGGGCUGCCUCUGUCACACAGGCCAGUCUCCUAGGCCCAGGCAGAUCCUUACAGCAGCCAAGGGCCCGCAGUCCUCUAUACAAGGCCCUGGGCAGCCCCCUGCUUGCAGGGGGAGGAGCUGGGGGCUGAUCUUGAAACUACAUCAGCAGAGAAGUGCAAGGUUUUCUUUGGCUGUGCGGUUUAUUUGGAGUGACUGGUGGGAGGGCGGCACAUAGAGAUUAGGAAGGGGGUUUGGCCCACCCUCCCCUGCAAGCACACUGUUUCCUCCCAGUGACCUCUGUUUUCUCCUAUUAGCUUCAGCAGUCUGUGUCCCUGCAUCCAAAAAAAGCCCUACCAAGAAAAUACAAUACCCAACCCAGUGGUUCUCCAUAUUCGCUAGAGGUCAGCAUCAGCCCCCAGUUCAAUCUGAAUAUCUGGAGGAGGUGGGCCCAGGUCUUUACUAAAGUUCCCCAGGUGAUUCUGAUGUGCAGCCAACGUGGAGACGCUGAGGUAGCCCAACUCCCUCAGCUGCCUGACUCUUGGGGUGUCUAGAGGGCCAAGGCCAUGCCUAUGUUCUUGUUAACCCUGCCCACAGGGCCCUGGGUUGAGCCAGCAUACAGCAAAUACACAUUCAAAUAAAGGUGUGCAGAGAACAGGGCGCCUGCCCUCUCUCCUCAGCACACAGCUAUGUGGUGGGUCUUCCCCAGCAGCACCUGCAAUCGCACUUCCUGCCUGAAUUCUGGGCCACCCACCGCACAUGGCUCACCCUUCCCUGGGCUUCUCCUGCUACCAGCCCCCGAGCCUGGCAGCACAAUGGCCAGGGUCGUGGGUGCUGCCCAUGGUGGAGGUGAGUCAAGCACAGGGGAGGAGUGGGAAGGAGAGGGUUCCUCCAGGCAGCCCCAGGCUGCUGCCCCUCCUCCCAGGCUUUGCCCUGUAAGGACCGCCCCCUGCAAAUGUGCGGCUGCAGGGGACACGGAGACUCCCUGACCCCAGCUCUCGCCGCCCCCAGGUACCAGCCAUCUGCAAGGUCCAGGCAAGACCUGGACUCGACUGUCUUUAAAGAACCACACAAAUAUUCCUUGCCUUUAACCCAGCACUCCCACACCUGAGAAUGUAUCCUCAGGGAAUAACCCUCAAACAGUGGGAAAGCUCUUUGAGUAAAGUUUCUGCACAAUAUCUAAAAUUAUGGGAACUUGAAGUAACCUAAGUGUCCAGGCUAGUGCGCUGCAAAGCAACAGCACGCCCAUUUUAAAAGCUAAUUGUGAAGACUUGCAACACGGGAAAACGCUAAUGAUACAGUGCUGAGUGCAAGAUUGCACUGGGCAGGAGUCCAGCUGUGAAAAAGUUGUACAUGUGCAUAUACAAGGGCUGGAGCGGAAUUGAAAAGCACCGAACUAAAAAAGAAAAGCAAAAUGCCCAUUUAUUAGGUUUGCGGGUGAUUUUUUUUUUCUGAUUGCUGGCAUUGUUUGUAAAAUAAAUAUUUGUAUGAGUAUAUAGUAAUAGUAAAAGUAGUCUCUGUUCAGAGCAGCUCUGGAAUACGCCUGUUCAAGCCCAGGCUGUAAGCGAGCAUGGGUCCUAAAGCAGGCUGCCUCUGGGGAGUAUUUGCAUUUGAAAGAAGCUGAAGUUUCAGAGAAACUGGCGUUCAGGCCAAGGUGCAGAGCUAUUGU